GUCGGUGGUUUUACCCAACUGCCCGUACAAGGUGGGGGCUGAGUGGCUGGGGAGGGGGGCCGGAGGCCGGAGAGGAAGGGAGCCGCUCUGUGCGGGGAGUCGGAGCUCCAGUCUCCUGGCGGAGGGGUGCAGAGCCUGGCCUCCGCCGCUCACCGCCCCGCGGGCCAGCGCAGAGCGGGCCUUCGGGGGAUCGGGGAAGCCCUCUCUCCCUGGGGUAUUUCCCACACCAUCAGCCCUCGGCUCGAGGUUGAACUUGGCCCUGGUCUGCCGCCCGUUGAAAAUAGAAAAGUUGGUAUCCAAAGUUAUCCAGUUCUGGAAACCCGUGUGCGCUCCAGACUUUUGGAGGGAGUGUGGGCUUUGGUAUUAGAGACUACAGAACUGAGUUUCACUCUUGGUUUUGCUGCAUGACCUUGGUCGAGUCACGGACUUGCGGACUCCUCCACACGGAGGGGCUGGUGCCUGCCUGCCUUUCCGGAUGUGGGAAAGAGCUAAGCGGAUGCCAAGUGCACGGGAGUGCGAAUUCGUUUGUGGAUCGCUCUCUUCCUGCCCAGGGGCGAUGUGUAGGAAAGGAAGGAGAAAGGAAGGGGAGAGGUGGGGGCGUGGCAGGGCGGAGCCCGGGAUCCACCAAGUAUCCGAACUCCCGGACCUGAGGGCGGAAGCCGUGGCUCUCUGCUGCCCUCCGGCGGGCGCUGCACUCCCCAGGUGUCCUCACCAACCCCCAGCUGAGACCGCGGGAAGAGCGGGCUGCUGUGAACACCAAGUUCCUCAGUUCGCCCGGUGCUUUAGGAAAUCCAGCCCCGCUCCACGCCUGUUUGGACCUAGAGUCUGAAAAAUGGUAGCUUCCAUUUAUGAACCUCUGCCACCCACUCGGUCAUUCGUUCGACAAAUACUGAACGGGUGAUGCUCCCCAGGCACAGAGCUCGGCGCCCGGGUGGGGUGGGAAAUCCAGCGUGCACGGCCGGCCGAGGGUCCUUCUGGAGCUGGCGUCCGUGAGCCAAACCUUUAGGUUUACUUGUAAUCCUUAAGGGCUCCCCCUGGGCGUUUCUCUUCCCCAUUUUACAGUUCAGGAAACCGAGGGCUAGAGGACGGACUGGGGAAGACGCACAGGUGGAGCGCAGGCCUCCCGGAUUCUAGCAGAGGCUGACGCAGCCUAACGCACGGUUCCAGUGGAAACGGAGGAACCAGACAAGAGUGCCCUUGGAAUUCCACAUCCCAAAGAAACGCCUCUAGGACUCCUCCCCAAGGGUGUCCCAAGGCUCUUCAGAUGCAGCGCUUACAAAGCUGAAGUAUCAACCUUCCCCCAAACCUGCCCUUCCUUCAAGCUCCCCGUCCUAGGGGCUCAGUCCAAAACCCUGGUCUAGACCGGAAUCUUCCUGGGCCAUUGCUGCGCAGUCUACCAACACACCUUGGCACUGUGCGCCUUUCUCACCCCUCUGCUCCACUGCCCCCAGGCUGGCCAUGCCAUUGUCCCUUUCUCCUGGACUCGUGAUGCCAACCAUCAAUAGAGUGACCAUCUCCACUCUGUCCUCCUCCUAUCUCUUCCCCCCAUUCAGCUACCAGAGUGGUCAUCUCAAGAUGGACAUCAGGGCCUGCUUUUCCCUUGCUCACAACCCCUAGUGGCUCUCUGACUCGACCCUGGUUAUGUUUGCCUGGAUUCGACGACAGCCGUCCAAUUUCCUUUGUGGAACGCCUUGCUCCUGCCAGCCUCAGGCCAGUGAUUUCGGAGAUUUGGGGAUAUAACUGGUCAAUCACCACCAAUUCCUCUUUUCCCACUGCACACCACCCCUCCACUGCCACAGGGAUUGGUUCAAGAAUGGGUACCAGCUGGGGGCCAAGACAAUGACAGACCUCCAUGAGUGGCCCUGGGACAAGCAGGAAAGAGGCACUCUCUUUCACUAUGGUAGCUAAAUGGCCACCCUGCCACCAUGUGGGGACAGCAAGCUGGAGAAUGAGGUUAUUUCUUGAGAAAGCAAGACGAGUAAAUAGCCCAAGUCCAGUUGACAAUGUUAUAUGCCUUGACCCAGCUGUGCCUGAUGGCACAGCUAAACCCGUAUCUUUCAGUUACAGGAGCUAAUAAAUCCCCCUACUGUUGCUUAA